ensembl:snRNA U2 U2 spliceosomal RNA
AUUGCUGCUUAGCCUUUUGUCUAAGAUCAAGUGUAGUAUCUGCUUUUAUCAGUUUAAUCUCUGUACCAAAUUCUUAACUAUUAUAGCUAUAUACAAGAGUUGACAAUGGUGUGGCAGGUCCUUCUUCACUGACCUUCUAUUUCCAUAGUUUUCUGAGCUAUUCCACUGAUUUUUAUAAGACAUUUUAUC